CAGGUACGGUGCGGGCCUUUCCCAGGCGAGGCUGAGGAUUUGAGGUGAAGUGGAAUGGAUGCCACGGGCAGCGUCACAGCCACAAUGCUGGAACGUGGCUUUGGCACAGUACAGGUGAUAAAGGCAACUGUGGUGACUGAAGGGAGAUCAGCGCGGAUGCGGCUGCCAUUGAGGAUGGCUCUUGAGGAGCGAUGGUGAUGCCCAGCAUUUGAACAAUGCUGAGCAGUGUUCUGAGUGGGCCCAAGGGAGCUGGAGGAAGAAAGGGGCAUGCCCCA